rnacentral:rRNA from 1 species
CCUACGGGUGGCUGCAGUGGGGGAUAUUGCACAAUGGGGGAAACCCUGAUGCAGCGACGCCGCGUGUGGGAAGACGGUCCUCUGGAUUGUAAACCACUGUUCCCAGGGACGAAGAUGACGCUCCCUGGGGUGGCCGCUCCGGCUAACUACGUGCCAGCAGCCGCGGUAAUUCGUAGGGAGCGAGCGUUGUCCGGAAUUACUGGGUGUAAAGGGAGCGUAGGCGGGACUGCAAGUUGGGGGUAAAAUCUACCGGCUCAACCGGUAGCCGCACUCAAAACUGCAGGUCUGGAGUGGAGUAGAGGCAGGCGGAAUGCGUAGUGUAGCGGUGAAAUGCGUAGAUAUUAGGAGGAACACCAGUGGCGAAGGCGGCAUGCUGGGGGUUUACUGACGCUGAGGCUCGAAAGUGUGGGGAGCAAACAGGAUUAGAUACCCUUGUAGUC